UCUUAUCUCCAUCAGCACCUAUUCUCUAGAGGCAUUUAAGGGAGUAUAGUUGUGAACCUCCUUGGCAGUGAUAUGCGCUUCCAUCCCCUAGGGCUCCUGGGUCAUCAAUUUUGAGGAAAAGUUCUGGAUCAUCGGUGAUGGGGUGGAAUCCUGGAUCACUACCAACCCUUUUAAGGAUCCUCUCCCCUUGACAAGAGCUUCCUAUCUUCUCCUUUCUUCUCUUUGGCCAU
rnacentral:lncRNA from 1 species